rnacentral:rRNA from 1 species
AGUCAUACGCUCGUCUCAAAGAUUAAGCCAUGCAUGUGUAAGUAUAAAUAAUUCUACUUUGAAACUGCGAAUGGCUCAUUAUAUCAGUUAUAGUUUAUUAGAAAUAAUUUACUACUUGGAUAACCGUAGUAAUUCUAGGGCUAAUACAUGAGUAAAUCCUCGACUUUGAAGAGGUGUGUUUAUUAGUAUGAAAACCAUAUGCUUUUGCAUAAUAGUGAGUAAUAAUAACCUUUCAUAUCGUAUGUUGUAAUAACGAUAGUUCUUUCAAGUUUCUGCCCUAUCAGCUUUCGAUGGUAGUGCAUUGGACUACCAUGGCAGUAACGGGUAACGAAGAAUUUGGGUUCGAUUUCGGAGAGGGAGCCUGAGAGAUGGCUACCACAUCCAAGGAAGGCAGCAGGCGCGUAAAUUACCCAAUCCUGACAUAGGGAGGUAGUGACAAUAAAUCACAAUGCGGGACUUUUAGUUUUGCAAUUGGAUUGAGAACAAUGUAAAAGAGUUAUCGAUAAACAAUUGGAGGGCAAGUCUGGUGCCAGCAGCCGCGGUAAUUCCAGCUCCAAUAGCGUAUAUUAA